rnacentral:lncRNA from 1 species
GAGGUGGCUUCCGGCCGCCAGGCGAGACUCCGCGGGAAAACUCCCUGCUAGAGAGACUAGGAGAUUUGGGGCUGCGGCCGUUUCCUCCGGAGCACCCACGGGACUGUGUGCUGGGGUCCCUCCACCGGCUGUGUCCUUUAUUCUUCUUUCUCACCCAACGAUUUACCUGAACGGUUAUAAAGUGCACGUUAUUUCCCUAAGCACUUUGAGUAUAUUGGCCCACUGCAUUCUGGACUUCAAAAUUUCUGAUGCGAAAUAUGCUGAUACUUUUGUUGAAGAAAUCUGGUCCUUCUUACUGAUGUGUUGCUCUUCUUCAUGGCUCGUGAAAACUAUUAGAGUCAUCCAAGGAUGAAACAAUCCUAUUAACCCAUGGAUUUAAUGUCUACAAAGCAGAAAGUAGAAUAACUUGGACUUAAAGGUACUUAUGUCAUGCUAUUUUACCAAUUGAUUGUUAACGAAACAUCUAAACAGUAUUAAGCACUUGCUAGGUGCUGGGGAUUACAAAAAUCAAUGGUUGCCACAUAGCUCCUAACCAUAAACAGCUGACAAACUCUAUCUGACAACAAGAGAAGCAUAGAAUUUAAGUUCUCCUCCUCCAACCUUCCUAAAAGUAGAGAAAGUGAUAAUGUUACAUGUUCUUUGGCUUUAUAAUGUAGAAAAUAUAUCUGACUCAGAAGGCAAAUUGGGAUUUGACUGCAACUCUGACACCCGAGUUCCCAAUCUGUGAGGCUUAGUUCUCGAGGCUGCAAAACGAAGGUAGCAUUGGACCCAAGAAGAAUAUGAGAACCUAAUGAACGUGCUCUAAUAUCCCCCAUGGAAAGGCACAAUGGUAUUUUUUUUAAAUAAUCAUGAUUAUAAUAACAGAGGUACUUUACAAUUGGCACAAAAGUUAAAGCUGGAACAAAGCAGGCAAGAUUAACAUGGCCACUCUGUAAGAAUAAUAUGCAAAUCUAUAAGGUAUUUUCUAUAGUGAUGAACAAUGAUUUGCUCCUUAAUCUACAUUUUCACUGCCCUUUAUCUAUAC